CCGCUCAGAAACUUAAAGGAAUUGACGGGGCCCGCACAAGCGGUGGAGCAUGUGGUUUAAUUCGAUGGUACGCGAGGAACCUUACCAGGGCUUGACAUACGUUGGAAGCGCAUCGAAAGGUGCGUGCCGCUUGCGGCCGGCGUACAGGUGCUGCAUGGCUGUCGUCAGCUCGUGCUGUGAAGUGUUGGGUUAAGUCCCGCAACGAGCGCAACCCCUGCUGCCUGUUGCCACCACGAGAGGUGGGGACUCAGGCGGGACCGCCGGUGACAAACCGGAGGAAGUGGGGACGACGUCAAGUCAUCAUGGCCCUUAUGUCCUGGGCUACACACGUGCUACAAUGGCCGGUACAGAGCGCAGCGAGGCCGCGAGGCGGAGCGAAUCGCUUAAAGCCGGUCCCAGUACGGAUUGGAGUCUGCAACCCGACUCCAUGAAGUUGGAAUCGCUAGUAAUCGCGCAUCAGCAUGGCGCGGUGAAUACGUUCCCGGGCCUU
rnacentral:rRNA from 1 species